CCUUCUCACAUACAGCAUGGAUGUGGAUCAGACACCUACAGAUCUCAUGGCUUAUGUCAACAGUGAAGGUCAAAUCAAAUACAAUAAGCCAAUGCAAGUGAUCAGCAUCUGUAACCUGGACAUCUUCUAUUUCCCCUUUGACAAACAGAACUGCACAUUCACCUUCAGCUCUUUCAUCUACCCUGUUGGCCAUCAGGCGCAGGACCAGGCUCUACAUCAUAAACCUUCUGGUGCCCAGUAGCUUUCUGAUAACCGUCGAUGCCCUCAGCUUCUACCUGGCGGCAGAAAAUGACAAUUGUGCCGCAUUCAAGAUAACCCUCCUGCUGGGCUACAACGUCUUCCUGCUCAUGAUGAACGACUUACUCCCUGCCAGUGGCACCCCCCUCAUCAGUAUGGCCCCUCCCUCCAUUAGGAGAAUAAAAGCAAGGCCCACCUUCCAUCCAGGUGUCUACUUUGCCCUGUGUCUGUCCCUGAUGGUGGUCAGCCUGCUGGAGACCAUCUUCAUGACCCACCUGCUGCACCUGGCCACCACCCAGCCCCCACCCAUGCCUCGGUGGCUCCAUUCCCUGCUUCUAUACUGUACCAGCUCAAGGAGAUGCUACCCCACUGACCCCCAGAAGGGAAACAAGGGUCUGGGCCUCACCCUGGCCCACCUGCCUGCUGUGAAGGAGCCGGUGGAGUUGGCGGGGAAGGUGUCAGGUCCAGAAAAGCAGAAUUAAAUGGGUUCCCUGGGUCAACAAGGGCCCAGCAGGAAGAUAGGGCUCAGAAGCAGCACUUGGUCAGCCUGUGGGUGCAGUUCAGCCACACGAUAGACACCCUGCUCUUCCGCCUCUACCUGCUCUUCCUGGCCGUCUCUGUUGUCAUGGUCGUCAUCCUCUGGAACACCUAG